AACGCUAGCUACAGGCUUAACACAUGCAAGUCGAAGGGAAACGAUAUUGGAAGCUUGCUUCCGAUAGGCGUCGACCGGCGCACGGGUGAGUAACGCGUAUCCAACCUGCCCAUCACUUGGGAAUAACCUUGCGAAAGUAAGACUAAUGCCCAAUGAUAUCCCACGAAGGCAUCCGAAUGGGAUUAAAGAUUUAUCGGUGAUGGAUGGGGAUGCGUCUGAUUAGCUUGUUGGCGGGGUAACGGCCCACCAAGGCAACGAUCAGUAGGGGUUCUGAGAGGAAGGUCCCCCACAUUGGAACUGAGACACGGUCCAAACUCCUACGGGAGGCAGCAGUGAGGAAUAUUGGUCAAUGGGCGAGAGCCUGAACCAGCCAAGUAGCGUGCAGGAUGACGGCCCUAUGGGUUGUAAACUGCUUUUAUAAGGGAAUAAAGUGGGUCACGUGUGACUUUUUGCAUGUACCUUAUGAAUAAGGACCGGCUAAUUCCGUGCCAGCAGCCGCGGUAAUACGGAAGGUCCGGGCGUUAUCCGGAUUUAUUGGGUUUAAAGGGAGCGUAGGCCGGAGAUUAAGCGUGUUGUGAAAUGUAGAGGCUCAACCUCUGCACUGCAGCGCGAACUGGUCUUCUUGAGUACGCACAACGUGGGCGGAAUUCGUGGUGUAGCGGUGAAAUGCUUAGAUAUCACGAAGAACUCCGAUUG
rnacentral:rRNA from 1 species